rnacentral:rRNA from 2 species
GACGAACGCUGGCGGCGUGCUUAACACAUGCAAGUCGAACGAUGAAAGAAAAUCCGAUCUCUUCGGAGUGAAGAAUUUCUGGAUUAGUGGCGGACGGGUGAGUAACGCGUGAGCAAUCUGCCUUACACAAAGGGAUAGCCUCGGGAAACCGGGAUUAAUACCAUAUGAUAUCUCAACUUCGCAUGAAGAUGAGAUUAAAGAAUUUCGGUGUAAGAUGAGCUCGCGUCCCAUUAAUUAGUUGGUGAGGGUAACGGCCCACCAAGAUAGCGAUGGGUAGCCGAUCUAAGAGGAUGACCGGCCACAUUGGAACUGAGAAACGGUCCAAACUCCUACGGGAGGCAGCAGUGGGGAAUAUUGCACAAUGGGGGAAACCCUGAUGCAGCGACGCCGCGUGAGCGAUGAAGGCUUUCGAGUCGUAAAGCUCUGUCCUAUGGGAAGAUGAUGACGGUACCAUAGAAGAAAGCCCCGGCUAAUUACGUGCCAGCCGCCGCGGUAA